rnacentral:tRNA from 2 species
GCCCUUAUAGUGUAAUGGAUUAGCACACGAUCGUUCUAAGGUCGGUAGUCCGGGUUCGAGUCCUGGUAGGGGUACCA